rnacentral:rRNA from 1 species
GGCUAACUUCGUGCCAGCAGCCGCGGUAAUACGGAAGGGUGCAAGCGUUGCGUCGGAAUUAUUGGGCGUAAAGCGUACGCAGGCGGUCUACCAAGGUCGGGCGUGAAAGUCCGGGGGCUCAACUCCGGGAAGUCGCACGAAACUAGCAGACUUGAGUUCGGGAGAGGGGUGUGGAAUUCCCAGUGUAGAAGUGAAAUUCGUAGAUAUUGGGAGGAACACCGGUGGCGAAGGCGACACCCUGGCCCGAAACUGACGCUCAUGUACGAAAGCGUGGGUAGCAAACAGGAUUAGAUACCCUGGUAGUCCACGCCGUAAACGAUGGGUGCCAGAUGUUGCGGGUAUUAUUCCUGCAGCGUCGUAGCUAACGCAUUAAGCACCCCGCCUGGGGAGUACGGCCGCAAGGUUAAAACUCAAAGGAAUUGACGGGGGCC